ensembl:snRNA U6 U6 spliceosomal RNA
GUGCUUGCUUCAGUAGCACAUGUACUAAAAUUGGAAUGAUGAAGAGAAGACUGGCCUGGCCCUGAGCAAGGAUGGCAUGCAAAUUUGGGAAGCAGUCUACACUUUC